UCACACUACCAAAAUUAGAAAGCAUGUAGUUCUGAGAGACUGAAUGUCAAAAUCGUAUGCUUGUAGCGUUUAAACUAUUGGGAACCUAGGGACCCACCACAACAUUUAAAAUGGCAGCUAAUGUCUGCGGGUGUUUAGGAGCUGGUGAGAGCUGGCAUUCUCUCUUAGCCUUUCAUUAAGGGCACCACUUUCAGAUAAAAACAUAGACCUGAAUGGCAUCAUCCAGUAUCCAAGGAAACCAUCAUCUCCACACUAUAUGCACUCACCACCCAUUACUUAGCAGACAUCUUGAUUGUCAGAUUGACUAUCCAAUUAUCACAGUGUUUGUGUUCAAGUAACCUGUAGAGUUGGCUAAUGUUAUGUCACAAUAGCUACGUUGUUCACCUCACUACAUCUCAUCACAUAGGCAUUGUAUCAGCUCAUAUCAUCAUCAGAAGAAGGGUAGAAGGCUAAGGAGAUGACCAACAUGAACCACAAUAAAGUGUGGUUGGUUGGGACAGCCCCUGUUUUGUGAGCUCUGUUUUGAGCCUGGGAAGAAGAAGGAAAUAACCUUUCUUGAGAAGCUCUCUGGAAGUUCUGCUGUUUGGAGUAGAAUCACAGGACUGGAAAAAUUCUUCAGGAAGUAUGUGGUUCACGCUUCUCCUUCUACAGAGCAUGGGACUUGGUCUUAGUGAGGUUGAGACCCAGAGCUGUGCAUGAUUAAUGAGCCUGUGGGACAGAUGGGCUAAUACUCUUGUCUCCUGCUUCUCAGUUGUGCCUUGAAUUAUGGCAUGCUGCUCUCUUGGACUCCUUGAUCUUGAAGAAACUGGAUGUUAGACACAAAAUCCUCCUGUGUGGAUUCAUUAAAAAUAUAUGUUACCCUGG